rnacentral:rRNA from 1 species
GUUCAAUCAAGCGAAUCGUAGAAAAAUCACUUUUUCCCGGGGGUGGGGGGGUGGGGCUAGCCAUCAAUGAGAUACAACUUUGAGAGAGCUAGAAUUCUAACCUUGUGUCAGAACCUAUGGGCUAAGGGAUAAUCUCAGGUAGACAAUUUCUAUGGGAGCGUAGGCCUCCUAAAAGGUAAUGAAGGCGUGCAAAGGUUUCCUCGGGUUGGACGGAGAUUGGCCCUUGAGGGCAAAGGCAGAAGGGAGUUUGACUGCAAGACUCACCCUCACCCGUUGAGUAGGGACAAAAGUCGGCCUUAAUGAUCCGACGGUGCCACCCACAAAAUUUAAAAAAC